GUACGUCUCUCUCCCUCUCGAUCUGGAGAACACCAGCACCCGCCACCACCUCUCCUCCCGGUCUCUGCCUCGCCGGCCAUGGCCUUGCUCGCCGUCCCCGACCCCAUCACCCCCGCUGGCCCCCGGCCCCCGGCGAGCCCGCCGGCCCUCGUUGAAUCGGCGGACCUCGGCGCCAGUCCCCCGUCGCCCCCACCGGCCGCCGGCCUCGGUCCCGUCGCCCCUGCCGGCCUUCGGCCCCAGCCCCGUCCUCCGUCACCCCCGCCUGCCCCCGGACGCGCGGGCGACUAGCAUGGCGGACGCAUGGGCGACGAGCAUGGCGCGCGGCAGCGGCUCACUCCACCGUCGACUACACAGCGCAGGCAUGCGGCAACUUCUUCUCUCGGGCGCGCGGCGGCCUCUUCCCUCAAGCUCCUCCCUUCGCCGUCGGCCGCCCGACGCUGCACUGGCGCGCUGCGGUGCCCCCCUCUCUCUCUCCAGGAACCAGCGAGCACGGCUAGGCGGGGUGCGGUUACCAGGGUCGGGCGAGCGUGGCUGUCCGGUGGCGCAGCGGGUAUGCCAGGCGAGCGGCGCGGUGAGCAGGCCGAGGCAGCAGCAGUGGUCCCUGUGGUAUUGUCCCCGGCCAGAAGAGGACGGCCGGCGGUGAAGUACGUGUUGCUGCGAUGGAGGACUUGAUUGCUUUUCCUUUUAGUUUCUAGGCGCCUUGUGUAAAUUUUUAGGACAGCUCUGUAACUUCUCUGUAACUCCAUCGAUGAAUGAAAGACAGCACGGCCGUGUAGAAUCAAAAAUCUCCGUGAGGUGAACCUGUUUUGGUUUGUUGUUCCUGUGUCAGCG
rnacentral:rRNA from 1 species